UACGUAGGGUGCGAGCGUUAAUCGGAAUUACUGGGCGUAAAGCGUGCGCAGGCGGCGCGUUAAGACAGGUGUGAAAGCCCCGAGCUUAACUUGGGAAUUGCGCUUGUGACUGGCGAGCUGGAGUGUGGCAGAGGGAGGUGGAAUUCCACGUGUAUCAGUGAAAUGCGUAGAUAUGCGGAGGAACACCGAUGGCGAAGGCAGUCCCCUGGGCCUGUACUGACGCUCAUGCACGAAAGCGUGGGAGCAAACAGG
rnacentral:rRNA from 1 species